rnacentral:misc_RNA from 1 species
AAGGAGAAUUACCUACUGUUUAAUUUUGAGGGUUCGUUUUUACGAAUACUCAAAAUUAGCACUUUAAGCAACGGGAUUUAUUCGUUGGCGCUGUGCGUUAGCACUUUGAAAACUGCAUAUAUAUUUAGUGAUAUGACAUCUAAUUUGUAAUAUAUAAAGCUGAUAACUUUUUAAAAUUAUCGAAGUUGAUAGCUUCUAAUCUAUCAAACCUUUUUAAC